UACAGAGGGUGCAAACGUUGCUCGGAAUUACUGGGCGUAAAGCGCGUGUAGGCGGUUUCGCGAGUCCGAUGUGAAAGCCCGGGGCUCAACCCCGGAAGUGCAUUGGAUACUACGAAGCUUGAGUGCUGGAGAGGAAAGCGGAAUUCCCGGUGUAGAGGUGAAAUUCGUAGAUAUCGGGAGGAACACCAGUGGCGAAGGCGGCUUUCUGGACAGACACUGACGCUGAUACGCGAAAGC
rnacentral:rRNA from 1 species